UGUGACGUACUCAGGUGAUUGUAGUUUACAACAAGAAAAGGUUAAAGGACGCUGCUGGCGGCGUUCGCUUUAAUCUUUAUCAGGAACAAAACCAGGUUCAGGGCAUUUGGUGAUCUUUUUAUUACAAGAAAAGUGUGGACAGUGCGUCUUGAUGGUAAAAAGUUCUAGAAGCUCCACAAUCUACUCCCAAAAAUGUAGAAUACAUUCCAUUUGCUGCAGUACAAAAUUAGAUCAGAAUGGCUCAACUAACAAAAAGCAAUAUUGCCAGAAACAAUAACAAGCCAGAAGAAGCUUCUCUCACAGAGACGGAUAUAAGAACUGCUGGUAAGAUUGGUCGUCAGCUGGCAGAGAUAGGAGAUGAAAUUAAUCAGCAUUACAAUGAAACUUUCCAAAGUAUUCCGCUGCACAGGACACGUACCACUACAUGUGUACAUGGGUCGUCCAGCAUCAUUGCACAAUGGAGAUCUUUUUUCUUCUACAAGGGAAUUAAAGCCAUGUUUGGGAUGAUCAAAAGAUGUCUGAUUAAUUCAGUUCAGUAUCCAAUAAUCCAGAGAUUCAGAGUCUGGGUAGCUAAUGCUUGUCCAGCAAACAUCUAUAUCAAAUGGACUGCUGGUUUUCUCGCUGUGUUUUUGCUCGGAGUGGCUAUUGGUAUUGAUUUGUAAGCCAAGGAAUAUGUCCAUAAUUGCACUGAAAGGUCACAAGCAGGUCUUUGGCCAAUACCAUUUAAUGAAAUCCCCACCCAGGAGGUGAAUGUCUAUUUUAUCUUUCUUUCUGUCUUUGUUAGGCUUUAGAUACACUGAGUGCUGGGUCACUUCUAAAAUGAAUGGUAAUAAAGUAGCAUGGUUAACAGAGUAAAUUAUGUGCUUUGGAAUAUUUUUGGCUGUUACUGGAUAACUGUCUAAUAGAUUUUAUAUUUGCAGACACCUGUGUGAUUAUUAUAAUGUAUGCAAAGUGUCACUGCUGUAAAACAACUAAUUGAGGAAUGCUGGCCUUCAUUCUUUUAACUUAAAUCAUAAUUUUCUAUUGGCAAUAUAAAAUAAAAAGAAUCUUAAAAAAAUGUUGUAUUUUUUGUAUUUCUCCUUUGUAGAUG